rnacentral:rRNA from 1 species
GACAGAGGUUGCAAACGUUGUUCGGAAUUACUGGGCAUAAAGCGCACGUAGGCGGUUCGUUAAGUCAUGUGUGAAAUCCCUCGGCUCAACCGAGGAAUUGCGCCUGAUACUGGCGGGCUAGAGAUCGAUAGGGGUGAGUGGAACUCCAGGUGGAGCGGUGAAAUGCGUAGAUAUCUGGAGGAACACCGGUGGCGAAAGCGGCUCACUGGCCCGGUACUGACGCUGACGGUGCGAAAGCGUGGGGAGCAAACAGGG